UUAAGGUGUUCAGCAUGCAGAUUCAUUUUCUGCCACCGAAUACAUUAGCAUGGGAUAAUGGAAUAGGACCCUGUCCUCCUAUUUUCAGUUGGUUUUGGCAGCGCGAGGACUAGGGUAAUGAUUAAUAGGGAUAGUUGGGGGCAUUAAUAUUUAAUUGUCAGAGGUGAAAUUCUUGGAUUUAUGAAAGAUUAACUUCUGCGAAAGCAUCUGCCAAGGAUGUUUUCAUUAAUCAAGAACGAAAGUUAGGGGAUCGAAGACGAUCAGAUACCGUCGUAGUCUUAACCAUAAACGAUGCCGACCAGCGAUUAGGAGACGUUGAAUACAAAACACCACCAUCGGCGCGGUCGUCCUUGGCGCGUUCGUGUUCACGCACGAGCGCGCGAGGGCGGUUUAGCCCGGUGGCACCGGUGAAUGACUCCCUAGCACUUUUGUGAGAA
rnacentral:rRNA from 3 species